rnacentral:rRNA from 1 species
CUACGGGGGGCACCAGUGAGGAAUAUUGCACAAUGGGGGGAACCCUGAUGCAGCAACGCCGCGUGGAGGAUGACGCAUUUCGGUGUGUAAACUCCUUUUAUAUGUCAAGAAAAUGACGGUAGCAUAUGAAUAAGCACCGGCUAACUCCGUGCCAGCAGCCGCGGUAAUACGGAGGGUGCAAGCGUUACUCGGAAUCACUGGGCGUAAAGGACGCGUAGGCGGGUUGGAAAGUCAGGUGUGAAAUCCUACAGCUUAACUGUAGAACUGCACUUGAAACUUCUAAUCUAGAGUAUGGGAGGGGAGAUGGAAUUAGUGGUGUAGGGGUAAAAUCCGUAGAUAUCACUAGGAAUACCUAAAGCGAAGGCGAUCUCCUGGAACAUUACUGACGCUAAGGCGUGAAAGCGUGGGGAGCAAACAGGAUUAGAUACCCCGGGUAGUC